AAUAGUCGCAGAUUUUUUGACACUUUGCGCGUUUGGAAAUUAGUGUUUGUAAUUAAACCGCGGAGACUCAGCACGGCAGACAGACGUCAGCUCCUCUCGGACCAUUACCAGUCACUAGAGAGCUCAAGCUCCUAUAGAGCUUCCUGGAAGGCUGCGAUUGGCCGGCUGUCUGGGCAGCGAUAGCAGCCCCGGAGCCGAGGAUGAUUGAUGACGGCGAGGGCAAGGCCGAGCGCCGGCAGCAUAAAGCCCCAUAGACGCCUCAAUAAAGAGCCCGGCUAGUGGAGAGCCCGGGCCCCGCUCAAUAGGGCCCCUCCGCCUCCGAGGACCCGAGGAGUGCUCGGAGAGAGAGGGAGGAAGAGACGGGGAAGGAGAGCUGCUCUGUUGUUGGAUAAUCUGUUUAGCUAUCGAGCCAGCAGCCGUCUGAGGCUGGAUAAGUGCAGCGACGGAUGUGUGUGGGGUGAA